AUAUAUAUAUAUAUAUAUACUGUAGCCUAUAUAUUUAAAAAAACGAUAGAAUCACGCCAUGCUGAUCCUUUAAAAAUGAAAGACUACUUUUGUUUGUAAUGCAGAAUAAGAACAGCUUAGCCGUUUAGGUAGAAACAGUUAACUCAAGUUUUCAAGAAAACUUUUUGUUGGGGGUGGACGCUACGGUUGCUGGGGGGGUGAAGAGUAACCAACGCGACUUGGACCGGAGUCCGAUUUCUUGGCAUGAGGAAUUGGAUGUGUGGCGGAUGUGCGUGACUAGAGACCAAAAUGAGUGACUGUCACGCUCGAUGCGUGACACUUGUAGAAACAGCUUUUUAUGGAUGCUUAAAAUGGUCAAUGUUUGCUAUGAACACAUUUAAAAGGCUCACCUCAACUCCUGGUAUCAUCGAAGUAUAUUCUCCUGUGGAGUUUACUUUUGCAGAUAAUGUGGAUUUGAUUUGAUUUGAUUCGGUCGUAUUGGUAAUAAGUGGUUGCUAAUGGUUGCUACAUGCUAGUUGUGGGUCUUGUAAAGUGGCUUUGUGAAUCCUCCUUGCGUUUUAAACAGGACCUGAAUAUUCUCCACAUCUUUGUCAUGGUCUUCAUCACACAACUAUUUCAUUGCACACUCACUGUUAUUGGUGGUCCAUAGCUGUGUGAGUAAUACAUGUAUCAGUAUCCAUGGUGACAGAAUGGUUUAUCCAGUGCAGACUAGUGCGUGGGACUGUGUGAAGUGUCACUCAGUUUAGACAAGCGCCGUCUAUUUUAUCAUUCAAGUUACCAAAACAAUGGUGUUUUUUUUAACAAAGCAUCUCCAAGAUAUACUAGGGGGGAAACAUAUUUUUUAAAACUUCUAUAUGACUAUAUAAAUAUUUUAUUUAUUUUCGGAUGUUACAGUGUACUUUAUUAUAAUGUAAUACAGCUGAAUAUCAUGCUUUCCCCUAGAUGUAUUUGGUUCUCUCUUAUAAAUCGUGACUCACUGUGAUUUAAAUCUGCAGAAUGUGAUAAAUCUGUUUCUGACAGAAAAUCUUGCACUUGAACUCGGUACACCCACCCACACACACACACACACACACACACACACACAGUAUGUGUAAAUAUAUUCCUGCUGAAUGUCACUGAUAUCCGUGCAAACUUACUGAGUUGUUCUUUUAAAAUCAAAUAUAACUUCUGAGAAACACCCUGUCUAACCCGUUCAUGUUGUUCAAUUGUUCUUGCUAACAUAAAUCAAGUAAUCUUCAUGUGUGUCUCUUUUGAGCAAUAUUAGCAAACCGUUCAUGACAUGGCCUGGUCUUAUUUAUUUGGCUAUUAGUAGAUAUGUAAUAUUUUUUUUAUUAUAUUCCUGUUAAAAUGUAAAAUGCUAAACGAUUGCUUAUUCAGCAAUUAAAUAAUGAAUUUGUUUACUUUUUAAAAGUUAUUACAACACUGUGGGAAUUGUAUUACUGUCGAUGGUGGUUGUGGAUAAAGAUGUCUGGAGUAAUACAACAUAAAAUGAGUUGUUGUUUAAUAUACAAAAUAUGAAUACAUAGUUACAGUUACAUUAGACAGGCCGCUCCAUAUACUGGUAUACUGGUAUAUAUAACUAGGAUGCAG
ensembl:lncRNA